UGCGUAGGCGGGGCAAUUAGUCAGUGGUGAAAUCCUGCGGCUUAACCGUAGAACUGCCAUUGAUACUGUUGCCCUUGAGUAUAGUUGAAGUGGGCGGAAUAUGUAAUGUAGCGGUGAAAUGCAUAGAGAUUACAUAGAACACCAAUUGCGAAGGCAGCUCACUAAGCUAUCACUGACGCUGAGGCACGAAAGCGUGGGGAGCGAACAGGAUUAGAUACCCUGGUAGUCC
rnacentral:rRNA from 1 species